rnacentral:rRNA from 1 species
UACAGGGGGUGCAAACGUUGCUCGGAAUUAUUGGGCGUAAAGCGCGCGUAGGCGGCUACCUAAGUCGGAUGUGAAAGCCCCUGGCUUAACUGGGGAAGUGCACCCGAAACUGAGUAGCUAGAGUGCAAAAGAGGGUCGCGGAAUUCCCGGUGUAGAGGUGAAAUUCGUAGAUAUCGGGAGGAACACCGGUGGCGAAGGCGGCGACCUGGGUUGACACUGACGCUGAGGCGCGAAAGCGUAGGUAGCAAACAGG